AUGAACGCUGGCGGCGUGCCUAAUACCUGCAAGUCGAGCGAACAGACGAGGAGCUUGCUCCUCUGACGUUAGCGGCGGACGGGUGAGUAACACGUGGAUAACCUACCUAUAAGACUGGGAUAACUUCGGGAAACCGGAGCUAAUACCGGAUAAUAUAUUGAACCGCAUGGUUCAAUAGUGGAAGACGGUUUUGCUGUCACUUAUAGAUGGAUCCGCGCCGCAUUAGCUAGUUGGUAAGGUAACGGCUUACCAAGGCAACGAUGCGUAGCCGACCUGAGAGGGUGAUCGGCCACACUGGAACUGAGACACGGUCCAGACUCCUACGGGAGGCAGCAGUAGGGAAUCUUCCGCAAUGGGCGAAAGCCUGACGGAGCAACGCCGCGUGAGUGAUGAAGGUCUUCGGAUCGUAAAACUCUGUUAUUAGGGAAGAACAAAUGUGUAAGUAACUAUGCACGUCUUGACGGUACCUAAUCAGAAAGCCACGGCUAACUACGUG
rnacentral:rRNA from 1 species